GGUGAGGUCUAGUGAACGGAGCCCAGGAUCCAUGUAAAUCCUCAGUGAACACUUUCUUACAGGAGAUUAGGCAGCUGGUAAAACAUGAAGGCCUGGUCGAGGGAAACAGGUAGGCCUUCAGGGGGUCUGAUGCACUAUUGUCCUGAACUCUACUGCUUUGAAUGCAUGGCUUGGUGGGUUAUAGCUCCUUAUCUGCUCCUUGAAGUGAGUGAUAGCUACAAAUGGUCCCUGGAUUCAGGCAUCCCUGGCCCAUACAUCUCUCCACCUAACCCUUAACCUCAGCUCCUAAGGCUUGACUGCUGA
rnacentral:lncRNA from 1 species